UACAGAGGGUGCGAGCGUUGUCCGGAAUCACUGGGCGUAAAGGGCGCGUAGGCGGUUCCCUAAGUGUGUGGUGAAAGCUCGGGGCUCAACCCCGAGUCGGCCGUGCAAACUGGGGGACUUGAGCAUGUCAGAGGCAGGCGGAAUUCCGGGUGUAGCGGUGGAAUGCGUAGAGAUCGGGAGGAACAUCCAUGGCGAAGGCAGCUACCUGGACCAACACUGACACUGAGGCACGAAAGCGUGGGGAGCAAACAGG
rnacentral:rRNA from 1 species